UUGAGUUUUCCGAUUUCAUUCCGUGAAUUAAUUAUUCUGGGUGUACCAUGAUGUUAUGAAGGUAUUAGUAACAAAAUUUUAUGGUUUGGAGCAGCCCAAAACGUCAUCAAACAGCCCCAAAGUUUUAGCCGCGCUAGGCGAGCUUCCGAGGCAAGUUUUGGCGAGUUUCGGGAAAGGUAAGGUCUCUCCUUUAAAAUUUGAGUUUAUGAUGUGGUUAUGAGGUGUAUUACAUGUCCUAAAUAUGGCUGGAGGUAGAGAAAUUGUACAAGGAUGCUUGAUGUUAGAAACUACUAAAUUAAAGUCGUAGUAGUUAAAUCGAAGUCGCGUAGUGUGUUGUCGUUGUGGCGAUGCGGGUGCAGCUGGUUGGAUUGUAUGUUGCAGGGCUUUAAAGUCUUUUAAAAAGGGUGUGGUUGCUGCUGGUUGCAGCCACAUGACCCCCCGUUUGGUAUGGUUAAAGAUUUUAUGAAAUAAAGGUUAAAAACUCUAUUUUGGUAUCAGAGUUUUAUGCUAGUUGUUUGGAGCUUGUGUUGUUUAAAGUUGAGGUGAUUUGAUUGUAUAUAUACUGCUGGUUGUUGUUGUUGAUAUGAUUGUUGACAUGGUGGCCGAGUUGAGAUCUCGGGGAUGGUGUAUUUAUAGGGGAGAUGCUGCCGAAAUUUCGGCAGAUUAGAAAUUAAUUUGUUUGAAGGAUUAAGACAAGUAUAUGGUGAUGAAUCUAAUGACUAUGUCAACUCUCUUGAAUGUAGACUAACAAGUUGGAAGAAUAAUAAAAGCUAGUAAGGCGCGGUACAGGUACACCUAGACAAGUAGAAGCUAUUAUAGAAGAUGUUCCAGCGGGGUCAGCAACUCCACUUAUUCCUGGGGUGCUGCCGAGUCAGAUUAUAAACGCUAUGAUGUUUCAUUCGAAGUUAGAGACCUUGCAGACAGAGUCGUGGGUAUAGAGUGUCAGCUUUGUAAGCGGCGUCACCAGCCGAUAUGUUAUUAUGUCGUAUGUCACGAGUUUUAUGGGAUGAUAGAUUGGGAAA